ensembl:lncRNA
CCAUAUAUAACUUUUUAUUAAGAAAAUGAACAAAAUACAUUCUUUCUCCAUAUGUACAUUACAUACAACGUAAUUCUACAACUGCGACUGUUCAGCAGAUCAUCUAUUUAUUCACAAAGCAGUGUUAACACAUUCACCAAACCUGGGAUCAGAACAUUACUCAUACUAAGAAAGAAAACAAAACCCUAAAAAGUCCAUACUGAGGGCAAAAGUGAGAUAAAACAGAGGAUCAUGAGCGGGGUGAGGAAGAUUACAGAGCACACUCAACAGAGCCCAGCAAUGUAGAACACUAAUGAUGUCAGAGGAUACCUGAUGCCCCCAAAACGUUUCUGUUUAAACAUUCUAGCUGGCCCAUGCCAGGGGUUCCAGACCUAUCUCAUGAUCUCCACUACAGGAUCCGUGUUGCUACAGAAGAGGAGAGUAAAGGCCAAGGGGUAGGACCCUGAAAGGUUGUAGUUUCUUCCUUCAUACAUUAAGAAAAGGACUCUCAUGAAAUACAAAGCUCCUAAAUCUUAGCUGAUAACCAGAGAAAUACAUUUUUGGAGAGAUAGUUGCUAAGCAUGGUAAGGGAAAUCUUGUGUCGAGGACUCCUUAUUUAUAUACUUAUGUUCAUCUCUUUUCUUUUGCUUUGCUCUUCUCUGCUUUUCCCUUGGCCUUUGAAAAGUACCUUAUCCUUCUUAGGUGUGAGUUUAAUUAUAUUAAAAUAAAGUCCAUCUAAACAGAAAGCUCUUUGUUAUGAAUAUGCUCCAAAUGUCUAUAAUGGUACAUAAAGCGUUUUAAAAUUCAAAUUAAUCUUAGAGAUAAAAUUUCAAAUGACCUGAACAAGGCAGCUCCCUAUAUAGCUUUUGGGUAGUAUCUAGUAUCUAUAGUUUAGGCUUAAAAAUUACAUUUCAACAAUUAUUUUCAGAUGGCUUAUCUAAAAAGGAUAAUGUUUUAAAGGAAAAGUGCUUGUGGACAAUGGAAUGGCUGUGUCAAGAUUUUUUAUUUUUUUCCUGGUCUUUACCAUGUUAGGGUAACAGAAGUAAAGUAAAAUGAGUAAGUCUCAACAGUUAAAUAAGAGUGGCUUUCCUUCUUCACACUCUGUAAUUUUCUAAAUUUCUAUGAUAAACAUAAUAAUACAAAACCAAUAAAUGUUAUUAUUUAAAAGUCCCAUUAGAGAUGUUUAACACUCUUCAACUUUCAGAUGAGCUGGCUGCUCUAACACCAUGUUUCCAGUCUGGGAGAUGUUCUAACAGAGAGAAGGAACUAUCCACAGCGUCAAUAAGCAGAUCCAGAAAGACAGAUUCUACUGGCUGUGGAUGAGCUGCACCUUUCUGCUCAACCUAAUCUGCAGUCCAACUUUGGUUCUGAGGAUCUAGCUCUAUCUUUAUCUAAAUGGAUCUUAAUUUCUGGCCAAG